rnacentral:rRNA from 1 species
GAUGAACGCUAGCGGCAGGCUUAACACAUGCAAGUCGAGGGGUAGAGGAAGCUUGCUUCCUUGAGACCGGCGCACGGGUGCGUAACGCGUAUGCAAUCUACCUUAUACAGGGGGAUAGCCCAGAGAAAUUUGGAUUAAUACCCCAUAGUAUAAUUGAAUGGCAUCAUUUAAUUAUUAAAGUUCCAACGGUAUAAGAUGAGCAUGCGUCCAUUAGCUAGUUGGUGUGGUAACGGCACACCAAGGCGACGAUGGGUAGGGGUCCUGAGAGGGAGAUCCCCCACACUGGUACUGAGACACGGACCAGACUCCUACGGGAGGCAGCAGUGAGGAAUAUUGGUCAAUGGGCGCAAGCCUGAACCAGCCAUGCCGCGUGCAGGAUGACGGUCCUAUGGAUUGUAAACUGCUUUUGUACAGGAAGAAACACUCCCUCGUGAGGGAGCUUGACGGUACUGUAAGAAUAAGGAUCGGCUAACUCCGUGCCAGCAGCCGCGGUAAU